rnacentral:ncRNA from 1 species
UCUAGAAAAGCUGUUUCAGGUGCCUCUCGCCGCCGUGCGCGAGGUGAAACGGGAAGCCGGUGGGCCCUUCUCCGCGUGGAGUGGGCCAGUCCGGCGCUGCCCCCGCAACGGUAAGCGAUCGACGGGUCCCCAAUGCCACUGUGCCUCGCGCAUGGGAAGGCCGACCCGGUUCCUGCAAAGGCGUCGCAAGCCCGGAGACCGGCCUGAAUCUUUCGUUAGAAC